rnacentral:lncRNA from 1 species
UGCAAUGGUCAGACCACCACUGCCGUCAUCUUCAUCUCCCGGCUCCCGCUCGAUCCAUCGCCACGCGACACCACUGACGCACCUCCUCCAAUUCGAACCACCAGGUUAAACCCCCUUGAUUAAACCCGUUACAAUGUGCAAAAUCUAGGGUUUUAUUUUAGCUUUUAACGACCUAAUUGAACUUAGUUUCACUUAUCCUGGUUCGUCUUACAAGAUACAGGGUUAUCACUUUCCAGAUUAUCCAGGUUCGUCUUAUUCUAAGCAUGAAGAAUGAUAGUUGAUCAAUAUUAAGAAAAUACCAUGUUUUUCUCUUCAACUUAGAAGCAAACUGUUUUCUUUGAUUGAUGAGUAUAUGUUUGAUGUUCUAACUUUCAGAAUUUGUAUCGCGAUUCUCUUAUUUACGUAGUUAAUAGAUCCGUCUCAUUUUUAAAUUUGGGGAGAUUUAACUUGUCUGUUAGUGGAUCGCCUUGAAUUUAACAAAAUGGUAGGGUUUUUCUUUCUGUGAAUCUAAGUUAGGGUGUUGUGAUCUUGUUAUGGAUGGUUGUUUCUCAAGAAGGAUAUCCUUUAUCUAAACACUCUUUGUGAUUAAUGGUUCUUCAUGUUGUAUUUAUUUGUAUCUGUUCGUCUAGGUAUACAUAUGUACUAGUAUAUUUUUGUGUAUGUAUUUGUCAGGUUAAUAUGUGUGUCUAUGCAUUAUUAUUUUGUUAAGCUCUAACACUUGUGGAAUUUAAUUUAGUUGUAUACUCGUGUCUCAAUCAAAAAUGUCAUCUAAUAGAGGAUGAUAGUGUUAAAAUCAUUGAAACUGAUCCUCAAUUCAUGUGGUCACAGUUAGAGGACAGUAACAUGAAAUUAAUUUAUAACAACAUUAUGUUAUGAAAUAAGCUGAUAUAGAUUGUUGUGGUGGUAGUGUAGAUGGAUUAAUAAUAAAAUGAGCGAAUAAAUUGCUAUUGUUCUCUUGUUAUUGGUUAGGUGUUUGAGGUAUUGCAUUGUUGGGGGUAGAAAGGCACUUGAAGUUGCUGAUUUUGGUGGUGAUAAUCUCUCUAAGGCGCUUGAAGAUGCUGAUAUUGUGUUUUGCAAAUAUGUUUUCUAGACUAAUGUUAUUGUUUUGGGGUGUGGUUAAUCAGAGCUGACUCGAGGGGGAUACAAGUCAAGGAAGGGCUUUUCCCCCCACUUUACAAGGGCCCAUAAAUUAAAAAAAAACAAGUAUUGUAAUUUGGGUUUCAAUUGGAACAUGAACUCCUGAACUCUUGAAUCAAUCGGAAAGCAUGAAAAGUGGCGGUUGUUUUAGUGUUUCAAGCAAAAAUUGAAGAGUCAAAACUCAAAAACCUAACUUCAUGAAGACGAUCACUCAUCUAUGCUUUUCAGUCGUUGUUCAUCUCUUAGCUACAAGGUAAUUUCUAUGAUUCCGGUUGGAAGUAUGAAUUGAAGAUGUUGGUUUGGGUUGGACGUAUGAAGGCGUCGGUUCAAGAAGUUAUAGUAUAUCAUUUUCAUCUUUAGAGAUAUAUGUAUUUGUGUUACUUCGAAACUUUUGUAAUUUUGUAUUACUUUGAAACCUUUGUAAUUUAUAUUCUUGGAUCAUAUUUUAUUGGUUUUAAUUUU